rnacentral:lncRNA from 10 species
GGAUACUUCUAAUCAUCAAGGAAAGGGUACAAAUCAAACUGCUCUGAUGGCCUGAUUUGCACUUCUUCUACAGUUGACGAUGGUCGUACUUCUCCAUGUUCUGAGACCAGUUUAAACAAAAACAAAAACCAGACAACAACCUUGCAAGGGAAAGAAUUCAGAGUAAAUAAACAGUCUUUUUCUGGGAAGUAAAAUAUUUCCCUAAGAUGGAGAAAUUGAGAUGAGAGCUCAUCCACAAGAUUACCCAUCAAUGAGCACCAAUAGCAACCAAAUCCACUAGAAGACUGGGAGCUUUUAAGUCAAGAAACUUACAUCAGUAUCAUCAUUCCAAGAAGCGGUAUCCAAGCUGUUUUAUCGAAAGUGCGCAUGGGAGAUAAGACUCUGAGAAUUUAUAGAAACAAACAUUAGAAGGCAGGAAUGUGGAGAGAAGAAAGCUACCUGACAAGGGAAUCUCAGGAUACAAGGAAAACACCAAGAAGUCCCCAUGAGUCCCUACAGCCACAAUAAAUUGAAUUCUGCCAAAAAUCUUAAUAAGCUUGGAAGAAGACCUUCAGCUCCUGAUGAGAACCCAGCCAGAAACAAGAUGAGAACCCAGAAACAAGAUUUUCAUCUUAUUUCAACCUGAGCAGAGAACCCAGAGGAGCCCUGGCCAGAUUUUUGGUCUACAGGAUUGAGAAGACACCUGCCUGAGGGUCUUAUAGCUAAUGGACUGCAGAAGACUUGAGUCAUCAUUCAAAUUCAGUAGCCAUCCUCUGAUGUCCAGUUGAAGAUUGGUGAUUCCAGAAUAGCUCGCAUUGCCCCAGUUGACUUGCCACACAGCUUCUUUCAGGACUUGAAAAUGUCCUAGCCACCCCCAUCUUACCUCCUACUUCCAAUGCCUUUUAAGAUAGAAAACAAAAAACAAAACAACAAAAAAACACCAGCCACCCUUGUGGGUUAGAUAAUCCUACAUCAAGGUGAAUUCUUGAUAACCAGUUCUGUUCUUCCUUAUGUCUUGUAAACAUGCUAAUUAGAAGGAGCUUGUGUUUGAAGAUCAAGGGAGGAAGAAUUCUGAAGCCAGGGCUAGCCUUAGGGGACAUAACUCCUUCCAGUCACUUCCUGAAUUUUUUGGUACCUGGCUUUUGAGAGUCCUCCAAAGUGAGAAUUUCAUGACAUGUAACCUCUCAACACCUGCAUUUUAAAAAAUUGUCCAAAAUACCGCAGAUACCACAGAAAAGUCCAAAACUUAAGUUUUUCCCUCCACUCAGAGCAUCUUAGCAACAUACUAACCAUAAGACUCUAAGCGCUCUUACCCUCAAUGCAAUUCUCACUGAAUAUCCUGUCAGGAGAACUCUACCUCUCUUCCAUGUUAUUAAGGUUAUUGUUCUUUGCAAGGUGUACACAACACAAAUAUAUUUCUUGGUGAAUGAACUCACUCUCAAAGACUGCUGUCCUUGGGGAUAUAGCCAACAUGCCAUAUCCACAACAUAGGUCUUCUUUACAGUCCUGUUGAAACAUGUAAGAUCAGCUACUAAGUCCCUGCAUCUCAGACAGGAACUUAAUAGAGUACAUUUAAAAAAAAAAUUCAGAAGUAAUUAAAACAAAUUGCAUACAAGCCACCUGUUUAGAAAGUUCAUAAAUUUUAUGCAAUUAUUUAUCUCUUUAUUUUUUCUGAAAUCAAGAGCAGAAUGUAUCCAAGUGAAACUAAAAGAGCGAGGUCAAGGGGAAACAACACAGGGCUUGUGGAGUCAUAAAUAUGUAUUAAAGCAGCAGAGUUAAUUUUGUCCCAAGUUCCAUAUUGGCCAGGAAAAAAGAAACAAGAUCAGCAGAGUUAACAGCUCUCAACCUGAAUAUGCCUCAGAAUUUCUAGGAGGACUUAAGUAAUGAGAUUCCUGGGUUUCUACAUGGACCAACUCAAUCAAACUCUUCAGGAGACAGCUGCUGUUGUUAGACUGUGUCUCCCAAAAUUCUUGUGUUGGAAACUUAGUUCCCAAUGUAAUGAUACUGGCAGGUGUGGCCUAGUGGGGGGUGUUUAGAUCAUGAGGGCUUCAGCCUCAUGAAUGGAUUAAUGUUGAUAUCUCAGGAGUGAGUUUCCUCUUGCUCUCUGUAGCCCUCUCUCUUGCCACAUGAUGACUUCCACCAGGUUAUGACUCAACAGGAAGGCCCUCACAAGAUGUGGAACCUCAAUCUUAGACUUCUCAGCCUCCAGAAGUGAGCCAAAUAAAUUUCUGUUCAUUAUACAUUACUUAGUCUGGAUUAUUCUGUUAUAAGGGCACAAAACAGACUAGUACACAAUAUGUGUGUGCUUUUUACAUCAGAUGAAUCUCAUGGUCAGUUAAGUCUGGAAAUCACUUGUCUAAAUGAGUUGCGUUUGGUUUUUCCUAAGAAAUAUGCUGUCAGUUCCUCAAGAGAAGCAAAAUAUACCAGCCCUUAUAUUUCCUUUAAGAAGACUCACCUAAUUUAGGUCAUAUAUCUCAAAGUG